rnacentral:tRNA from 1 species
CCUGGUGGCUCAGUGGUAAAAGAAUCUGCUUGCAAUGCAGGAGACCCAGGAUCAAUCCCUGGGUCAGGA